rnacentral:lncRNA from 1 species
GUCAAGUCUCUCGCGCCGGCUCCCUCCUGCCGGCUAGGCGGCCUGUCCCCAGCUGGAGCGGGGUUCGGCCCCGCGAAGUCCGGCCUGCCCUUCUGCUGGCGGGCUUGAGUCUGUGACGCGAACCCCCAGCUGCCCCAAUUCCUACGGGGGCGAGGACAGGGGUUUGUUAUUUAAGACGGUUGUGGAGGGCCGCAGGGUCUUUGAGGCUCCGCAGCGUACGCUGCGGGAAGGCGGACAGCGAGCUGGCAUAAAGGGAGUCGUUCCUCAGCGCUAGCGGGGCAGGUCGGCCCGCCUCUGUGCUCCCCCGCCAGGCUCGCAAAGUUCGGGCGGCCAGGCUGCGGCUGCUGCUGCCUCCUCUAGGCGCGCGCGCUCUGUAAACUCGGCGUCCUUCGCUGAGCCCUGGCCUCGGCCUCGCACCUGCCAGAUCCAUGCCCGACGGCGCGGUGGGCAGGGGUGGCCGCGGGGGUGGAGGGAAAAAUCCGGACUGCCACUAAGCACAGUGCUCACAAAAAGCAAGUCUUGUGUAGACUGAAUUUUAUGAAAACUUAAGACAUGGCAUAUGUAAGAACGAACUCUGAAGCCUUAAUUAAUCAAGGACUGGAAACUGCGAAAUAGUCCUAUUAUUAGAGAAAAAGGAGAAAAGCAAUUAAAUUUAAAGCAAAAUUUAAAA